rnacentral:rRNA from 1 species
CUUUGAUCAUGGCUCAGGAUGAACUCUAGCUACAGGCUUAACACAUGCAAGUCGAGGGGAAACGAUAUUGGAAGCUUGCUUCCGAUAGGCGUCGACCGGCGCACGGGUGAGUAACGCGUAUCCAACCUGCCCAUCACUUGGGGAUAACCUUGCGAAAGUAAGACUAAUAUCCAAUGAUAUCUCUAGAAGACAUCUGAAGGAGAUUAAAGAUUUAUCGGUGAUGGAUGGGGAUGCGUCUGAUUAGCUUGUUGGCGGGGUAACGGCCCACCAAGGCGACGAUCAGUAGGGGUUCUGAGAGGAAGGUCCCCCACAUUGGAACUGAGACACGGUCCAAACUCCUACGGGAGGCAGCAGUGAGGAAUAUUGGUCAAUGGACGAGAGUCUGAACCAGCCAAGUAGCGUGCAGGAUGGUGGCCCUAUGGGUUGUAAACUGCUUUUAUAAGGGAAUAAAGUGAGUCUCGUGAGGCUUUUUGCAUGUACCUUAUGAAUAAGGACCGGCUAAUUCCGUGCCAGCAGCCGCGGUAAUACGGAAGGUCCGGGCGUUAUCCGGAUUUAUUGGGUUUAAAGGGAGCGUAGGCCGGAGAUUAAGCGUGUUGUGAAAUGUAGAUGCUCAACAUCUGCACUGCAGCGCGAACUGGUUUCCUUGAGUACGCACAAAGUGGGCGGAAUUCGUGGUGUAGCGGUGAAAUGCUUAGAUAUCAUGAAGAACUCCGAUUGCGAAGGCAGCUCACUGGAGCGCAACUGACGCUGAAGCUCGAAAGUGCGGGUAUCGAACAGGAUUAGAUACCCUGGUAGUCCGCACGGUAAACGAUGGAUGCCCGCUGUUGGUCUGAAUAGGUCAGCGGCCAAGCGAAAGCAUUAAGCAUCCCACCUGGGGAGUACGCCGGCAACGGUGCAACUCAAAUGAAUUGACGGA